GUCACUCAAGCCCUGGACUCACUUCCAAGACUCAGGACCUCACUCACCAUUCCUUCUCUUCCUCCUGUAACCAACCCUCUCAGCAGAAAUGAGGACACACAAGCUUCUCUCAAUCUGACUAUCAGACUAUUAAAACGAUGGGCUCAAAGACAUGGGAAUUCCUUCAGGAAACCAAUGCUGGGAGAAGGAAAAGGUGCCAGCUACGAGGAUGACUUGUCUCUGGAAAAGAUUUACAACAUGUCGGACCACCUUGUAGGAUGAAGCUGAAUGAAGCCCAGACAAUGAUGGGUCGGUCAGCGGUGGGCUUAGAGUGCCUGGCCCGACGUGGAGGACAGUGUGGGUGGAGGUUUGGUUUCUUCCCCACCAGAGCAGGUGUGGCGUGACUGGUGCACACACAGAAAGGGGACAAGUGGACAGCUGCUGUGCAUCCUAGCCUACUCACAGAAGUUCAUGUUCAGGAACUUUAAUUUCAGAAUCAAAGAAUUCAAAACUGGUGUGAGCACCACCUCAGCCGCUUGCUGACUUGCAGGUCUGGCACUUGCCCUCCGUCUGAAGACCUCCCCUGUGGCCACACGCUGUCAGCACUGUUUAUGGGUGAGAUGAUUUCUUGAAAUCGGUCUUUUCAUGUAGAGUCUACCUUGGAGAAAUGAAGCAGCCAUCAAGGGAUCUUACUGCUUUCUUUCUGCUAGGAUACCCCCCACCCCAAGUAGGCUCCAGAGAGGAACAGAGACCUGUGAGCCCUGCCCAGGAGCCUGAGCAGGGUAGGCGGGUGAGCUACCAGCCAUUUCCUCUGGCAUGGAGUGUGUGUGCUCUUACCACCAUGGCUUUAGCCCCUGCUGGGAAAGGGUGUCCUACCUUCUCUGAAGGGUGACAUUUUGCUUUGGAGAGAGGGAGGGGGAGUGUUCCAUGAUUUCUUCUACCUCUUCACACCUUUAUCUUGAGUUUCUCUUGUUGGCCCCAUCAGAGACCAAAGAGCCUGGAGCAAAACAGAAAGGGGAUCUCCCAGGAAGGAACCUCCUAGCAGGGCCUCCGGAAGGCAGGAAAGCCUUCUGAAGGGAUGUAUGCUUAUCCACUCCGAGGGGCAGAUCUCCAGAGGGCCAUGGCUUCCGCCUGGAGACCUAGUGGCAUAACAAAGGCAGAGAGGGAGCGCUAGACCGUUGAAGGAAACAGAACUCAGGUUGGCCUGACACCCUAGACACCAGAGGAGGCUGGGGAGGAUCCCUUAAGAGAGACCACUGAAGCAGUGCUUCCUACAGUCCCUUUGGGCCUACGUUGCCAAGGCUGGGUCAGCCUGGGUGCAUAACCAGAGUUAAGACACAUAUGAAUACAAGACUGAACUUCUAUAAUGUCAUCGCCUUUUGCUCAGACCGUGAUGGUGCCCACCCUUGUCUGAAUUCAGAAUCUUCAUCUGAAGCCCGCCUACCCCUAUCCAUCCCUCACGAUAACAAACCAUCUUGGAACUGCCACAAAGCCCAAAGUGGAAUGGCCUCUGCAGACCCAGGACACUGUGGCUCUCGACAGAAGGAGCCCCUGGAGAAGCAAAGCUGGGGAACCAUGUGUUGGCUGUUGGCCAGGCAGCCAUAGGCUCUAGGCAGCUAUCUCUGCCGUUUACUCACUAGCACUAUGGAGUGGAUAACAGCCAACAAGGACCGGGAUAAUGGGUAAGAGACUGCAGUGGAAGCUCCUGGAGGCCACAGCAAAUCACAUCUCUGCAAAGAGAGGUGGGGUGAAACCAAAACAGGAGCCACAUCGUUGUUAAGGAGCCAUGUUGUUAUAUAUUGUUACUAAGUCUCUGUAGCUUGUGAGAAUAA